rnacentral:lncRNA from 1 species
GAACUCUAGAUUCCACAUUGACCUCUCUUACUGGGUUUUUGUGAUACUUCUUCCUCUAACCCUACUUAUAUAACUAUUACUUAGUCAAUAUGUGCAGAACUCAUUCUCUUACCCCCAACACACCUGUUUACCCAACUUCCCAACUACUAUCAAAGGUAAAACUAUUCUUUAAAGUUCAGUGUCAUCUUUGAAUCCAAAUUAGCAUUCAUUCCACCUACCCUGUCUGUUAAGAAUUUUUAUGAUAUAUACCUUAAUAAUGAUUCUUAUUUGUAUAAACCUACAAAUAUUACAAUUAUGCAUAUUAAAUAUGUCUAUUUACAUAUUAUUCACUGUGCAUAUCUAUUAGAUAUUAUGCAUAUAUAUAAUUUUAUAGGUAUAUAUAUAAUUGCCAAUUAAGGGAAUCUAGAUUUUCUAAUAGGCUUUUUUUUUUAUCUUUCAGACUCCAUCUUUCCAGUUGUACUAGAGAUGAAAACUUGGUGAAUUAUAGUGGGGGGAAAUGUAUCGAUGUUGCACCAGGAAGUAAGCAAAAGAAAGAGACUGAAUCUUGAGCCCCUCUCCUACACUACUUCCUGUUUCUUCCUUACCAACUGUCUGGAUGAAGGUUUUUCUCACAGAUGUUAUUUUUUGGCCACCUAAGGGAUCAGCAACAUCUGCACUGAACCAUUUUCAGCAGAAACCAAUUGCAGUCUUUCAAUUUGCCCAGGAUUGCCCAAGGUGGGAGGGCAGUGGUCUUUGGAGGUGUGAGCUUAUUCUAGUAAGUGACUUGUGAACUCUCAUACUUAAUAGUAAGUAGGGGUACUUUAAGUUCUUGAUUUUAUUAGUUAAAAAUAGAUGAGGGGUGAGUUAAUCCUAUCUUCACAAACCCCCUGUGGUUCUUUGGGAGUCUCUCCAAUGAAUCAUUUAACAUAUCUAGCUUAUACCUCUAUAGAUCUCAUAGCUAAAGGAGCAUACAACAUUAUGCUUUCUAAGAGAAAAUUACAGUAGUUGAAGAUAAAAGGGAAAUAAAAGAGAGAGAACAAAAUGUGCUUGCUAGGUA